rnacentral:rRNA from 1 species
UGGAAACUGUCUGACUNGAGUGCAGAAGGGGAGAGUGGAAUUCCAUGUGUAGCGGUGAAAUGCGUAGAUAUAUGGAGGAACACCAGUGGCGAAAGCGGCUCUCUGGUCUGUCACUGACGCUGAGGCUNGAAAGCGUGGGUAGCGAACAGAAUUAGAUACCCUGGUAGUNCACGCCGUAAACGAUGAGUGCUAGGUGUUAGGCCCUUUCCGGGGCUUAGUGCCGGAGCUAACGCAAUAAGCACUCCGCCUGGGGAGUACGACCGCAAGGUUGAAACUCAAAGGAAUUGACGGGGGCCCGCACAAGCGGAGGAGCAUGUGGUUUAAUUCGAAGCAACGCGAAGAACCUUACCAGGUCUUGACAUCCCGAUGCUAUUCUUAGAGAUAGGAAGUUACUUCGGUACAUCGGAGACAGGUGGUGCAUGGUUGUCGUCAGCUCGUGUCGUGAGAUGUUGGGUUAAGUCCCGCAACGAGCGCAACCCUUAUUGUUAGUUGCCAUCAUUAAGUUGGGCACUCUAGCGAGACUGCCGGUAAUAAACCGGAGGAAGGUGGGGAUGACGUCAAAUCAUCAUGCCCCUUAUGACCUGGGCUACACACGUGCUACAAUGGUCGGUACAACGAGUUGCGAGCCGGUGACGGCAAGCUAAUCUCUGAAAGCCGAUCUCAGUUCGGAUUGGAGGCUGCAACUCGCCUCCAUGAAGUCGGAAUCGCUAGUAAUCGCGGAUCAGCACGCCGCGGUGAAUACGUUCCCGGGCCUUGUACACACCGCCCGUCACACCACGAGAGUUUGUAACACCCGAAGUCGGUGAGGUAACCUUUUAGGGGCCAGCCGC